GGGUACCGCUCUCAUCCCUCUAGCCGCGCUCGGUAUAAGCGCAGGCUUU
rnacentral:ncRNA from 1 species